UGAAGCUGGAAUUGCUAGUAAUGGCAGGUCAGCAUACUGCCGUGAAUACGUUCCCGGGCCUUGUACACACCGCCCGUCACACCAUGAGAGUUGGAAAUACCCGAAGCCUGUGAGCUAACUUUUAGAGGCAGCAGUCGAAGGUAGAGCCAAUGAUUGGGGUGAAGUCGUAACAAGGUAUC
rnacentral:rRNA from 1 species